UAGCCAGUGAAGCUCCACCAUCUGAAACGCAAGACAGCAAUAUAAUGGAAUCUAACGGACACAUUCUGGCGAUUAUCUUUGGGGUUCUGUUUGCCGUCACGUUGCUGGUCUUCUCCGUCUACACAUAUGGACAGAGGAAAAAGUACUCAAAGUUUAAAAAAGACUCCAAGCAAAAUGUUAUUUAUAAACCAGCUGCCGUUGAAAAAGACAUAGAUCAAACCUCUGUUACUGUAUCAUAAACCACAUAUUUAUUCAGAAACUUGUUUUGUCUUGUUUGUCUUCAGAGUGAGACUUUGGAAUAAAUUGUUUGCAAAUUAGUAGAAAUUGCUGCAUACACUUUUGGUCCACUUUUUUGUUGUUGCCCUGGUUGUGUAUGUGUCUGGAGUUUUAAGUACAUACAUUUUAUUUUUCAUUUUGCUGUUUUUUCCAUUGAAUUGAGGAAAUUAAUCAUAACAUAUUAUUCAUCCACCUUCCAAGAUGUAUAAUGGUUCUCUAACAGUAUCUGAGCAGAACCUAGUUUACAUAUAGAUAAACUGUCAAACCACAGCCAUUCAUUUAUAUAUUACCCAGAUAGUGACCACUAACUCUCUCUCUCCAGUCAUCUGACACUAGACUUCAGAAACUAUAUUUUAGUCUUGACAUACAAUUUCAAAAUUGUAAGUGUAUAAUGAGUUUGUGAAGCCGUGUUGUUUUCAGUCUGUGUCUCUCAGAACAGACUGUUCUUUACUGCAUGUAUGUAUCAAACACGGUCCAGAACACUAAACAUUCACACGAGGAUUCCUGUCAGCACCAGCAAUGUUUAAGACCAUUAAACUUUGAAUCUGGAAAAUCCACGAGUUAACUUGUGUUAUAUAUAAGUCAUGACAGGUCAUGUAGAGGUGUGUAUUUCAACACAAUUCUGUUGAAGACUGACUGUGAAGCAUGCAAUCCAAUGCAUUUGGCAGGUCAGGGGGUCAGUUCUCACAUUUCAGUAAGAUAUUUACUAAAGGGCAGAGGUCACAUGACUGAGAGCCUAAAAGCCACAAAUACCGGUAACACUUUGUACAUUAACGUGAGUUAAUGCAAUAGCUAACUGCUG